AAACGACAAGGGGAGCCGAAGCUCCCCUUAAGUAUUGCGAUACGUCGUUCUUGUUAUGCAGGCUGUUGUUCUUGUUGGAUGCCUGUACCGGAUCGGGUCCGGAGUACCUCCCGAGAGGGAGCAAGAGCGAACGGAUUAUUUUGGAUGCUGACGCUACCUCGGGCCCUGGAUCUCACCCGGUGGGGCGGUGUCCGUCGACAUUU
rnacentral:sRNA from 1 species